UACGUAGGGGCUAGCGUUAUCCGGAAUUACUGGGCGUAAAGGGUGCGUAGGUGGUUUCUUAAGUCAGAGGUGAAAGGCUACGGCUCAACCGUAGUAAGCCUUUGAAACUGGGAAACUUGAGUGCAGAAGAGGGAAGUGGAAUUCCAUGUGUAGCGGUGAAAUGCGUAGAGAUAUGGAGGAACACCAGUGGCGAAGGCGGCUUCCUGGUCUGUAACUGACACUGAGGCGCGAAAGCGUGGGGAGCAAACAGGAUUAGAUACCCCGGUAGUCCCUGAGCGGG
rnacentral:rRNA from 1 species